CCCAACAAAGGUUUCUCUUGGGCCAUUAGCUCAGGUGGUUAGAGCGCACCCCUGAUAAGGGUGAGGUCCCUGGUUCAAGUCCAGGAUGGCCCAUUCGUUGUUGGGGGUAUAGCUCAGUUGGUAGAGCGCCUGCUUUGCAAGCAGGAUGUCAGCGGUUCGAGUCCGCUUACCUCCACUGAAAACUAUCCUGAUAACUAAAUCUCGGAGAAAAAUUUGUAUAAGUGGCUUAGGAUUGUCUGUCUGAAAAGAACCUAGCUUCUUGUCAUCUUUUUAUAGUUGAUAACAUGCUGGGCUCGCAUGGAUUAAUUCCAUGAGAAUUCAGUAGAACCCUGAAAACUGCAUAGAUUAGAAAGAAUAAAGCAUCUCAUGGAUGCAUAAUUCUGGUCCUUAUAAUUUAGCCUUAAAAAUAAAUUACUUAGUUCUAGAAUUCAUGUUUAAUUCUUGAGUAAAAGCCGAGCACAAUUGAUUUUGUGAUUGUAUUUAAGGUCAAGCUACAAAGGGCUCAUGGCGGAUACCUUGGCACACAGAGGCGAUGAA
rnacentral:tRNA from 1 species